rnacentral:rRNA from 1 species
CCUACGGGAGGCAGCAGUGAGGAAUAUUGGUCAAUGGACGAGAGUCUGAACCAGCCAAGUCGCGUGAAGGAUGACUGCCCUAAGGGUUGUAAACUUCUUUUAUAUGGGAAUAAAAUGUUCCACGUGUGGGAUUUUGUCGGUACCAUAUGAAUAAGGAUCGGCCAAAUCCGGGCCAGCAGCCGCGGUAAUACGGAGGAUCCGAGCGUUAUCCGGAUUUCGUGGGUUUAAAGGGAGCGUAGGUGGAUUGUUAAGGCAGUUGUGAAAGUGUGCGGCUCAACCGUAAAAGUGCAGUUGAAACUGGCAGUCUUGAGUACAGUAGAGGUGGGCGGAAGUCGUGGUGUAGCGGUGAAAUGCUUAGAUAUCACGAAGAACUCCGAUUGCGAAGGCAGUUCACUGGACUGCAACUGACACUGAGGCUCGAAAGCGUGGGUAUCAAACAGGAUUAGAUACCCCAGUAGUC